rnacentral:rRNA from 1 species
AGAAAAUAGAUACCCAGGUAGUCCUAGCCCUAAACCGAUGUAGACUAGGCGUUGGUGGCUUAAUCGCCAUCAGUGUCCAAAGCUAACGCGAUAAGUCUACCGCCUGGGGACUACGGCCGCAAGGUUAAAACUCAAAGGAAUUGACGGGUCCCCGCACAAGCAGCGGAGCGUGUGGUUUAAAUUCGUUGCUACACGAAGAACCUUACCUGGGUUUGUACAUAGCAGUGGUAGGGAAGCGAAAGCGGACCGACCCUUCGGGGAGCUGUUACAGGUGUUGCAUGGCUGUCGUCAGCUCGUGUCGUGAGAUGUUCGGUUAAGUCCCGCUAACGAGCGCAACCCGCGUGGUGUGUUACAAGUGUCACACCAUACUGCCGAUAUUAAGUCGGAGGAAGGUGCGGAUGACGUCAAGUCAGCAUGACCUUUAUAUCCAGGGCUACACACACGCUACAAUGGUCGGUACAACAGGUUGCCAAGCCGCGAGGCGGAGCCAAUCCUCUAAAGCCGACCUCAGUUCAGAUUGCA